CGUCCGGACCGGGUUCGGUUCGGAAAGCCCCUCAUCCCGGGAAAUGGGGCGCGGCCGGAAAGGAGGCCGCCCUCUCGCCGGUCACGGUGACUCUAGAUAACCUCGGGCCAGUCGCACGCCCCCCGGGCGGCGAUGACACAUUAGAACUUCUGCCCUAUCACCUUUCGAUGGUAGUCUCUGUGCCUACCAUGGCGACCACGGGUGACGCGGAAUCAGGGUUCGAUUUCGGAGAGGGAGCCUGAGAAACGCUACCACCUCCAAGAAAGGCAGCAGGCGCGCAAAUUACCCACUCCCGACCCAGGGAGGUAGUGACGAAAAAUAACAAUGCAGGACUCUUUCAAGGCCCUGUAACUGGAAUGAGUCCACUUUAAAUCCUUUUGCGAGAAUGCAUCGGAGGGCAAGUCUGGUGCCAGCAGCUGCGGUAAUUCCAGCUCCAAUAGCCUAUAAAGUUGCUGCAGUUAAAAAGCUUGCAUUUGGAUCUUGGGAGCGGGCGGGCGUCCACCGCGAGGCGAGCCACCGCCCGUCCCCGCCCCUUGCCUCUCGGCACCCCCCAGUGCUCUUAACUGAGUGUCCCGCGGGGACCAAAGCAUUGACUUUGAAAAAAUUAGAGUGCUCACAGCAGGCCCGAGCCGCCUGAGACCGCAGCUAGCAAUUGUGGCACAUGAGCGCGGUUCUACUUUGUUGCUUUUCGGAACUGAGCCAUGAUUAAGGGGGAAGGCCUGGGGCAUUUGUAUUGCGCCACUAGAGGUGAAAUUCUUGGACCGGUGCAAGACGGACCAGAGCGAAACCGUUUGCCAAGAAUGUUUUUAUUAAUCAAGAAUGCAAGUCGGAGGUUCGAAGACGAUCAGAUACCGUCGUAGGACCGACCAUAAACGAUGCGGACUGGUGAUGCGGCGGCGUUAGUCCCGGACCCGGGGCCGCUCUGGGAAACCAAAGUCUUUGGGUUCCGGGGGGAGUAUGGUUCCAAAGCUGAAACUUAAAGGAAUUGACUGAAGGGCACCACCAGGAGUGGAGCCUGCGGCUUAAUUUGACUCAAUACGGCAAACCUCACCUGGCCGGGACACGGACAGGACUGACAGAUUGAUAGCUCUUUCUGGAUUCCGUGGGUGGUGGUAUAUGGCCAUUCUUAGUCGGUGGAGCAAUUUGUUUGGUUAGUUACGGUAACGAAUGAGACUCUGGCAUGCUAACUAGUUAUGCUACCCCCGAGCGUCGGUGUCCCUCAACUUCUUAGAGGGACAAGUGGCGUUCAGCCACUCGAGAUUGAGCAAUAACAGGUCUGUGAUGCCCUUAGAUGUCCGGGGCUGCACGCGCGCUACACUGACUGGCUAUGCUGGCAGGCACGGUAACCCACUGAACCCCAUUCGUGAUGGGGAUUGGGAAUUGCAAUUAUUCCCCAUGAAGGAGGAAUUCCCAGUAAGUGCGAGUCAUGAGCUUGUGCUGAUUAAGUCUCUGCCCUUUGUACACAGCACCUGUGGCUACUACCGGUUGGAUGGUUUAGUGAGGCCCUUGGAUCGGCCUGCCAGGGUCCAACA
rnacentral:rRNA from 1 species